rnacentral:rRNA from 1 species
ACUCCUACGGGAGGCAGCAGUAGGGAAUCUUCCACAAUGGACGAAAGUCUGAUGGAGCAACGCCGCGUGAGUGAAGAAGGGUUUCGGCUCGUAAAACUCUGUUGUUAAAGAAGAACAUAUCUGAGGGUAACUGUUCAGGUAUUGACGGUAUUUAACCAGAAAGCCACGGCUAACUACGUGCCAGCAGCCGCGGUAAUA